CUCUCCAUAGGCUAACGGAUAAACCGUAGGACUACGAAUCCUAAAUUGAAGGUUCGAAUCCUUCUGGAGAGGC
rnacentral:tRNA from 1 species